rnacentral:rRNA from 1 species
GUAGGGAAUAUUGGGCAAUGGAGGCAACUCUGACCCAGCCAUGCCGCGUGCAGGAUGACGGCCCUCUGGGUUGUAAACUGCUUUUAUACGGGAAGAAAAAAUACUACGUGUAGUAUACUGACGGUACCGUAAGAAUAAGGAUCGGCUAACUCCGUGCCAGCAGCCGCGGUAAUACGGAGGAUCCAAGCGUUGUCCGGAUUUAUUGGGUUUAAAGGGUGCGUAGGCGGAUCUUUAAGUCAGUGGUGAAAGCCUGCAGCUUAACUGUAGAAUUGCCAUUGAAACUGAAGAUCUUGAAUGUGGUUAAAGUAGGCGGAAUGUAUCAUGUAGCGGUGAAAUGCUUAGAUAUGAUACAGAACACCGAUAGCGAAGGCAGCUUGCUGAACCAUUAUUGAUGCUGAGGCACGAAAGCGUGGGGAGCGAACAGGAUUAGAAACCCUUGUAGUCC